rnacentral:rRNA from 1 species
UGGGGAAUAUUGGACAAUGGGGGCAACCCUGAUCCAGCAAUGCCGCGUGUGUGAAGAAGGUCUUCGGAUUGUAAAGCACUUUCGACGGGGACGAUGAUGACGGUACCCGUAGAAGAAGCCCCGGCUAACUUCGUGCCAGCAGCCGCGGUAAUACGAAGGGGGCUAGCGUUGCUCGGAAUGACUGGGCGUAAAGGGCGUGUAGGCGGUUUACACAGUCAGAUGUGAAAUCCCCGGGCUUAACCUGGGAGCUGCAUUUGAUACGUGUAGACUAGAGUGUGAGAGAGGGUUGUGGAAUUCCCAGUGUAGAGGUGAAAUCCGUAGAUAUUGGGAAGAACACCGGUGGCGAAGGCGGCAACCUGGCUCAUGACUGACGCUGAGGCGCGAAAGCGUGGGGAGCAAACAGGAUUAGAUACCCUGGUAGUCCACGCUGUAAACGAUGUGUGCUAGAUGUUGGGUAACUUUGUUAUUCAGUGUCGCAGUUAACGCGUUAAGCACACCGCCUGGGGAGUACGGCCGCAAGGUUGAA